AUCCGCCUCGAAGUGCUGUGGUCGGGUGGAGGGUCCUGGGCUGUGUUUGAUUUCUGCAGCUCAGUAACUAUCAGCAGACCCCCGAAGAUCCCCGCAGCUCUUACUGUCAUUUUAACGCUUCUGGAUUUGGGUGGAUCCAGGUUGGGAUAAGAUGAACGAAGCGGCUUUCCCAUCGCCCACAAUGGAGAUGGCAGAGAUGAACCGGAUCCACUACGAGCUGGAGUACACAGAGGGCAUCAGCCAGCGUAUGCGCAUUCCAGAAAUGCUGAAGGUAGCUCCAUUGGCAGGCCAGGAGCAAGAUGUCUCCAUGGCACAGGAGGUGCUGCACACGGUCAUGAUGCACGUUCCAGACAGGAUUGUAGUUGCAGCUGCUGGAGAGGAUACCCAGUUCUCCAGGCCCAGAGAUCUGGACCUUAUCCAGUCCACUCCACUGGAGACCCUGUCUCUUCAGACCCCUCCACGUGUUCUCACCCUCAGUGACCGGCCCCUUGACUUUCUCGAAGUUGAAAAACCCAGUGUUCUUGCAAAUGAACAGGAGUGCACAGGUCACAGCAGAUCACGAAGGGAACGGUCUAUCAGUGAAAACAUGGCUGUCCGUCAUGGUAGUCAGCUGGUCAAAAAUGACUCUUUGCAUAUUGCCUUUUAUGGUAAUGAAAUUCCGUUAUCUUUGCACAUCACCUGGCCGGACUCGACCGGUGCAUUCCUACAGAGGGUGAAGCCUACAAUUUGGUGACACUUCCCUUCCAGAACACGGUAUUGUGCUGCUUGGUCAGUAACUUGUGCCAACUUUUAUGGUUGAUGCCAAAGGGAUGUGUUCAUGUGGUCACCUGUCCCACAUGCUCAUGUGAGCCACGUCACACAUUAUAAUCUCUGCAGCCUGUCAUGUAUCCCCAGUCAAAAAUAUAUACAUGAUUGAGGAAUAAAAUAAACUUCUUAUUGAUCAUAAAUUCAAAUAAAUACGUUUUCAUCACAACUCCCUCCUUUGAUUCUAAUCAAUCACAUUUUAUACAUUAUUUUCAUCAAAUAAAUAUCUCAGGCCCAGUUCUUUAUUUAAUCCUUCAGGUUCAGUAUUGUUGAUUCACAGGAGCUACACUGUAAACCUGACCUUAUUUAAAUAAAAGAUUUUAGUACUAAUUACUUAUUUUUUAUGUUUCGUAAAAAAUAUUACCAUUACUAAAUCUAAUUAGUUGGUAGCAAUGUUGAGCUGAAAUUUACAAUGCACUUAUGCUAAACAAAGAUAACUUAUUAUAGUAAGUUUCUGAGUGGGAAAGGAGAUGCAUGUGUGCUGCAUUUUGAAAAUCAACGUUACUUCAAAUGGUAAUUAUGUUAAAUAGUAUAUGUUAAACAAGAGAUUUGUGAUAAAAAGAAACUGAAAGGCUAACUUCACUUUACAAUGUCUCACAAGCAUGUGGGGGUGGAUGAGAAGAAGCUGUUUAAUGUGCUUAAUGUAUUAAAUAAUAAACAGUGCAUUUAUUGUCUUACUGUUUAGUGUAAUCGAAUUAUCUGUCACAGAGCUCCUACCUUAGCCACUGUGCUGCGUUGCAUUCCGCUCUUUUUUCUCGUGAAGAUGUGGUGGAACUUCAAGCAGUUUUAAUGUCUGUUUUUAUGUGUAAUUUUGCUGACAAAUUUAUAAAUGGUAUUGGUACCUUGUAACAUUUUGACAAUAAUUUACAUUAAACUUUAAAUACUAUGUUCUUUCCAUUUAAGAACUUUUUGUAACCUACAAAAGUAAUCUUUCUUAAUUAUGUUUUAAGUAUUAAUUAACAAUUGUUAUUUGUUAUGAUUUUUGUAUACUUAAAAUAUUUAUUUUCAUUUGAACUUCAGAAAAUAUCUAAUUCAUAUCAAUUAUUGAUUUUGAAAAAAGACUAGAGUUACUGGAUGCAGUAAACUUAACUUCUUUAGUUUCUUUUUGUGAAAAAACUUAAGUAAUUAAAGACAAAAGGGUUUAUACGCAAUUUUUCAGUAAAGUCUACUAAUUUGGGUUACGAGUUUGGUAUCUUUCCUGAACUCAGCGAAACAAAAUGUUAUAUAUUUUUGUGUGCAUUUCAAAAACAAAUGUAUCAGCUGCAGUGUUUGGCAUUAAAGCAAAAAAAAACCAUGUAUUAGUUACACCUGAUGUAUGGACUAUGAAAUGUGCAUACUGUAAAAAAACAUUCUUCCCCAGAUGCCUGCCAUGAACCUCAUUAGAGCCAUCAAAGCUAGGUUUAGCAGUCAGAAUAUAAUAAUUUCCCUAUGAUGAUCAGCAAACAGACCAGCCCUUUAGAGCUGAUCAUCUUUAAGCUGUUUCUUCAGGUGUAGUCAGAGCCUUCUUGCAGUGUAUAUGGUGAACCCACGUUCCUCGUCCUUUCAACUUCACGGCUGUUUGGAGCACUGAGCGUCACAUCAAUCUCAAAAGUUGGGGGAGCUAAAACAACAGAUAUUUUUGAACAUGAAGAAUAAAAGCAGAACAACCCUCAAAACGAAAGGAAAGCGAUUUAGCAAGAACUAACAUACAGAAGAGCCUACAAGAAAGGUUCCGUUUAGAACCCAGACAUCGUCAUCAUGGCAGAGGAAUUUGCUGUUGGCAGCUUUUACAGCUGCAAAACUUCUAUUGCAAAACGCUGGGAUUCCACUUUUAAGUUGUGCAGAAAUAUUUGGACUCAAACCUUACUGGACAUUAUAUCUAUGGAGCUAUCAACAGCCCGGAUACAUGGUGCCAAAGCCAGGACAUUGAGAAGGUGGCGGGACGCAUUUGAAAAUGCGAAGCUGCUUCUUGUACUAAAGUGAACUUUCAAAAGUGGACUGUUAUGACUGAUUGCUGGAGUUGUUAUAAUUUAUUUUAUUUUAUUAUUAUUAUUAUUAUUUAUUUAUUUAUUUAUUGGAUAUGUCAGAAAGUAUAUUGAUACGCCUGGGUGGGGCUGCCAGGAAGGGGGGAGGGAAAUGUGGGUGGCUAUAAUAUUAUAUUUGUUUUUAUAUUAUGCUAUAUUAUAUUAGAUUAUCCCACCUAUGAUGCAGGCCUGGACAAUUUAAACAAAGUGGUGCGGUUUAUUAUUCUUUUUUUUUUGCAGCAUAUACCAACAUUAUCUUAACUUUAGCUUUUUUU